rnacentral:lncRNA from 1 species
GACCUGAUUGGCAGGAUCCAAAGGAACGUUCUCUCCAGCUCCCAAGGAGCCAACGGGAGACAGAGAAGCUUGGUCAAACCCUCGCCUUGUGCAGAGGACAGAGGAGACCCAGGACACCGAGGGUAAUUGGGGCAGCCUCACCAGCUGAGUGCCUCUCUCCUGCUUCCAAGGCUUCCACAUUCCAGAUCUGUUUCUCAGCAAAUUCACAGGUACUGGCCAGAAACAAGGGUCGCAUUUGGGUGUCACGGUCAGGCAGGUUUGCUUUUAAAUCCAGGCUUUGCCUUGUUGCUUGUGCAGCUAUACGUGCAUGACCUAACCACUGAACAGUAAAUUCUCUGCAGCACAAAGGGCUUGGCCAAACGCCACAGCUAGGAAACUUCAGCCCAGCUUCCAUCUGCGUUAGAUCGCCUUAAGGUGACCCCUGCCCUGGGACUGAAUUCUUGCUCAAGAAAGUGCAAUGUUGUCAUAUUGCAAAAUCCACAUUGUCCCAACCUACCCUUCCAAACCAUUUCCAGUAAUUCUCCUUCAUCCCCUUCUGUAAUUGCUCAUUUUCCCUAUAACCCACCUAGUUCCUUCUUUCUUACCUCGUUUCAUUCCCUAUAACCUCCUUUUCUGACUCCCUCUCUGUUCUCCAUUAACCUCAGUUAUCUUUGUAUUAGCUGGAGCUGACCUGUUUAUGGUGGAAUCUCUGUCCUCUAUGCAGAAGUCUGAAUAAAAUCUAUCUUGCCAUCAGUAAGACAUGUCCAGCCCCAUUUUUCUUUGACGAGAUUCGGCUUCCUGACCUGGAAAAUGGAGAUGUGAGUGUUAUUCUUCUGUACAUUACUCUGUGAUUACGACUACACUCACAGUAACAGGUGGUGGGGCCAUUUGGACUGUUUCCUGAAGCAGAAACCACAUUCGUUAAGUGUGCAAAUGUUGAUGGCGUACUGACUAGGAGAAAGACUCCCAGGUACACAAAAGCAAAAGCAACAGUUGAAAGUGGAACCGUUUGUCUCAGAUUGGGACUUGAAUCCAUGUGGCUGGGACUUGAACCCAGCUUAAACCCAGAGUGCCUGGUCUCAGGACCUAAUGAAGCUCAGGCUCUUGAUGUCUCAUUGCAGAAAGAAUUCAGUGAGAGACAAAGUGAUAGGUAAGAAGCGGAUUUAUUUGAAGAGGAACAUACUCCACAGACAGGGUGUGGACUAUCUCAGAUGGUGAGUCUGGCCACCUCAAAAUGUGGUGUGGUUCAUUUUUAUGGGCUGGGUAAUUUCAUAGGCUAAUGAGUGAGAGGAUUAGUCCAGCUAUUUUGGGGAAGUGGUGGAGAUUUCCAGGAGCUGGGCUACUGCUCACUUUU